ACACCCAAAUAUCUCCACCCGGCCGGGGAAUCGAACCCCGGUCCUCUGGCUUGUGAAGCCAGCGCUCUAACCACUGAGCUACCGGGCCGUGUGUGUGUGUGUGUGUGUGUGUGUGUGUGAGUGUCCUAGUAACCCGUGCCUCUCCCCCAGGGUCUGCUAUUGUAUGCUGGCCGCUACGGCAGAAUCCUCGAUCUUCACCUGGCUUGACCAGGGCUUGACGUGAGGUCCCGGCCGCGACUCUGGUCGAAAUCCGGUGGCGGAAUCAGUCACGCAACGAGAUUCCGCAGGCAAAGUACCAUAGGUGGCAGCAGGAGAGGAUAGCGGUGGAGCGGGGGCGGCCGGCGCUGCUCUCUCUUCUCCGGGAGGAACGCUGAAGCCUCCUUAGCAUGUCACCUCCUGAAGAAAGGACUGGCACCAACAACAGCUGCACGAGACGUCCUCUGCUGCUUCAUGGCUCACUGGCCUCACUAAUUUUGCAAUAAAAUCUGAACAACUUA